rnacentral:rRNA from 1 species
AGUGAACGCUGGCGGUAGGCCUAACACAUGCAAGUCGAACGGCAGCACAGUAAGAGCUUGCUCUUACGGGUGGCGAGUGGCGGACGGGUGAGGAAUACAUCGGAAUCUACUUUUUCGUGGGGGAUAACGUAGGGAAACUUACGCUAAUACCGCAUACGACCUACGGGUGAAAGCAGGGGAUCUUCGGACCUUGCGCGAUUGAAUGAGCCGAUGUCGGAUUAGCUGGUUGGUGGGGUAAAGGCACACCAAGGCGACGGUCCGAAGUUGGUCUGAGAGGAGGAUCAGCGACACUGGAACUGAGACACGGUCCAGACGCCUACGGGAGGCAGCAGUGGGGAAGAUUGGACAAUGGGCGCAAGCCUGAUCCAGCCAUACCGCGUGGGUGAAGAAGGCCUUCGGGUUGUAAAGACCUUCUGUUGGGAAAGAAAAGCAGCAGGUUAAUACCCCGCUGUUCUGACGGUACCCAAAGAAUAAGCACCGGCUAACUUCGUG